rnacentral:rRNA from 1 species
UAAUCCUACGGGGGGCAGCAGUGAGGAAUAUUGGUCAAUGGUCGGGAGACUGAACCAGCCAAGCCGCGUAUGGGAAGAAGGUUUUCGGAUUGUAAACCAUUGUCGUUAGGGAAGAAGAAGUGACAGUACCUAAGGAGGAAGCUCCGGCUAACUAUGUGCCAGCAGCCGCGGUAAUACAUAGGGAGCGAGCGUUAUCCGGAUUUAUUGGGUGUAAAGGGUGCGUAGACGGGAAUACAAGUUGGUUGUGAAAGCCCUCGGCUUAACUGAGGAACUGCAACCAAAACUAUAUUUCUUGAGUAUCGGAG